rnacentral:lncRNA from 1 species
AUCUACAGGCUGCAGGAAGAGAGACACUGGGCCUGGCUUGGGCUUUUGAAACUUCAAAGCCCACCCACCAGCAACACACUUCCUCCAACAAGCCACACCUCCCAAUCCUUCUCAAUCAGUUCCACUAACUAGGGACCAAGAGUUUUCAUUUAUGAGCCUUUAGGGAAUUUCUCAGUCAAACCACCACAGCUCAUUUGUUAGCUUUGUCCACUUUAUUAAGAAGAUUUGUUUUCUUUAUACAAACCCAUCUUGUCAUUGUUUAAUAUAACAUGUAUUCUCAAAUGUGAACACACUUUUAUAAAGCAAAAAAAUGCAUGAAUUUAUAAUUUAGACAAAAAAUUUGAUACAUUGUUUCCAACUACAUUGCUAUGAAAUUAUAUGUUGUGUGCAUCUAGAACAACAGUUCUCAACCAUGGAUUUCGAAACCCUUUGAUGGUCACAUAUCAUAUAUCCUGAAUAUCAGAUAUUUACAUUAUGAUUCAUAACAACAGCAAAAUUAUAAUUAUGAAGUAGCAACAAAAUAAUUUUAUGGUUGGGGGUCACCAAAAUACGAGGAACUGUACUAAUGGACCUCAGCAUUAGAAGGCUGAGAACCACUGCUCUAGAAGAUCAUAUGUUGGAAAGCAGGGUAAAGCUGCAGUGGGGUGUGGUGUAUGACCUGAAUAGAGUCCCCCGAAAACACCAGCACUCAUGAAGAUCUAGCUAUAGAUAAGUUUAGUCUAUUCUUUCAGGUCCUAUGUUAAUGUGUUAUAAUAGCUCUAUCCACUCAUCUUUGGGUCUUUUACAAUAGCCACCAGGGAAAGAAUUAAUCAAUGUAAUUUUAGUAUUAUGUGAAAAUUCUAUUUUUAGUCAAUAUUGUUCUAUGUCAUCAGAAAUAGAUUUAAAUAUUAGGUUGUCUUUCAUUCCUGUAGGUUAAUGGAUAUGUUAACGAGCAAUAAAAUGGUAUGAAACAUCUGAACACCCCAAAUCUGAAUGUACUCUGAAAAGGUAGUCAGAACAUCUCAUUAUACUUUGAGAAGUUAUCUGAGUGUCUUUUCAAAGGCUUGUUUUUAUCACUUAUGCAGUUUAGUCUAAGACAAAUAGUGUUUCUGACUGCCUUAGGUUGGCUUGAUACAAAUGGAUUUUGGAGCCAGGCAGUGGUGGCGCACGCCUUUAAUCCCAGUACUUGGGAGGCAGAGGCAGGUGGAUCUCUGAGUUCAAGGCCAGUGUGAUCUACAGAGUGAGUUCCUGGACCAACAGCACUACAUAGAGAAACCCUGUCUCAAAAAUACCAACCAACCAACCAACCAAAUAACCAAAAAACAAGGAAAAAAAAUGGAUUUUGGUUUCUGUGAAUCUAGCUGAUUUUUGGCCACUGGUCUGUUGCUUGGUAGGCAGAAUUCCCCUCUGGAGCAUGUCUAGUUUUAGACGGUUGAGGGUUGUUUGGGAGUUAAACAGAAACUUCAGGGGCCACCACAAGGACACUUCUGUAGCCGGUCAGGUUCUGGAACAUGUCACAAUCUACUUCCACAGUGAGCCUUUGGAGCCCCAGAUGUGUUGGGGUGAACUGGAACUGAGUAUGUAGGCUGCUUCCUGGCCACAGAGAACCCAAUCUGAAAUAAAGGUAGAGAUAGGUGUUAAUUCUCCUCUGGAUCAUUGCUCCACUGAUCUCUAUGGGUUGAUUUUCCUGGCUGGAAGAUGUGGGACACAAGGAUUUAGAAAUCUAAGUACAUUGCUGGGAAGCCAGAAGUGAUCAUAAAGGAGGGGAGACAGGAGCUUCUCUAUACAGAGCAGCCGUGUGACUCAAGACAGCACUGGGAUUUGGUUUGGCCCUGUUCUUGGUAAUAGUACUUACCGGCAGUGUGUUUGGCAAAGGCUAUAGUUUUAAUGUCUUCCUGGUGAGCACAGUGGGUCCCGUAGGCAUGAUGAGGGAGUGCUAGUGUGUCAGAAGCUUAUGGCUGACCUUCCUGGACUAUGGUAGACCUUUCAGUAACUAAGGAAAUGUUUGGAAUUUUCUUUGAGGAACUUUGCUCCACAAUUGGCCUGGAAGAUCAUAAAGUCUAGGUAAAUGCUCAUGGGUCCCUCUCUCGUUUUAUUGGUGAGAAUGGUAAAAUUUCACUAUGCUGUACCCACUGGUACAAUAAAUGGACCACCUUCUGGGAAUCCCAGUGUUGCCUUGAAACUGUACCCAACCAGGAGUGAAGGAGGCAAAAUGCUUGCAACGUCUAAUACCACUAAUAAAAUACACAGGAACUCCUAGAAGUCGACGAGAAUGAUGGCAGUAAGGACGGAAGAAAAGCAGCCAAGAAGAUGGAAAAGGAAUGCUAGCCUAAAGAAUGGCAAAUCGGAACAGUAAGACAUGGCUUUCUGCUAGACAUUUUUUUUUCCUGACUGGAAAAAAGAAUAGUUGGAUAUUUGCCAGAGAGGUAGGGAGAGAAACUGUGUCUCAGUGCAGGAGGGAUCCUGCUACUAAAUCUGGUAAGACCUGGACAAACUAGUUCAUAGUCUGUGACCCAGAAAUUCCACUCCUCGCAGAUAAAAUCCCUGGCAUCACCAAAGUUUCAACCGCGCUUAGAAGGGGCAGCACAAGGCUGUUGGCUGUGAAACUUUGCGGCAUCAGAGUGAGAGGUAUUUGUUGCCCAUCAUAACUGAGCAGUAGGAGGCACACAAUGGAGUAUUAUGGGGCCUAAGAAAUGGACUUCACAUAUACAUG